UCCCACCAGAGAAUUUGACGCAUGAUUGGUAGCGGUUCCACAACUAAAGUCACGUGAUCAAAUUUUGGCGCCGAAAGAUAAAGACGGUAACAGUUCGAAUACUGCGUUUGCACAAGAUGGAUUUAACUCAUUUCAAGAUUCUCUGAUUUUAGGAUCUCUCACUCUGAAUUCUUAAUCUUUUUCUUGAAAAGAUGAACUGAUAUUUUUGUGUCUGUCUUUGUUUGCAUCCACUUAAGCUGAUGUUUUUGGCUCUCUCUCUUUCAGCGUGCAUAAUCAAGUCCUUCGAGUAAGGCGUUUCAAACGUCGAUUGAUGAUUCAGAAAACAUCAGCGAUUAUGAAAAUUUAGAGGUGACAUCGGCACCGAAAGAAAAGAGUAAAUCGCCCAAGGAUCUCUGUUUUACGGACGAGGCGACAGAACUGAGCAUUGUCUAAGAAAACACACAAGCUGCCAGUUCGUCAGUUAAGAUGAGAAAUCUCGGGGAUAGCACCUACAAAAAUGGUUCCUCCUGGAUGGCUUUCAAAAUUCCAACCACCAUCGAGGUUCUCUGCCUCAGAAGAGUUGGAUAUCCAGAAGAGAUAUCUCACCAGCAGCCCAAAGUACUCUGGGCAGCAGUGAAUUGCAAAAAAAAAAUUGCAUAGUAUCCUUGUAUGGCUAGCAGGAUACUAGACUAAGUUGACUUGGAAACUGAAUGGACUGGUAUGGUUUAAAAAUCUAUUGAUUUGCCUCUUCUGCUUGCAGUGAAGAGAGACAAUUUUGUGGUGCUGAAUCUCUUGCCUUAAACUAAAAAGUUGCAAAAUAAUCA